rnacentral:misc_RNA from 1 species
AACGCACAUUGCGCCCCUUGUUACAGAGGGGCAUGCCUGUCUGAGUGUCUUUUAAACCAUAGACGCCUGUCUGUUUUGGGGGUCGCGCCUCCGCGUCCCCUCAAAGUCAUUGCUGUCGAGCGGAUGAGAUCCAUUAGGACGAGGCCGCUUCGACACAAGAAUCUCUGACGGACCUCAGAUCAGGUAGGACCACCGCCUGAACUUAA